AUUGAACGCUGGCGGAAUGCUUUACACAUGCAAGUCGAGCGGCGAGCGCGGGGGCAACCCUGGCGGCGAGCGGCGAACGGGUGAGUAAUACAUCGGAACGUGUCCUUCAAGUGGGGGAUAGCUCGGCGAAAGCCGGAUUAAUACCGCAUAAGCUCUGAGGAGGAAAGCGGGGGACUGGUAACGGCCUCGCGCUGUUGGGAGCGGCCGAUGUCGGAUUAGCUAGUUGGUGGGGAAGGCCCACCAAGGCGACGAUCCGUAGCUGGUCUGAGAGGAUGAUCAGCCACACUGGAACUGAGACACGGUCCA
rnacentral:rRNA from 1 species